rnacentral:sRNA from 1 species
AGCAACUGAUUUUCCUAAACAUGAUCAUUAAUUAUGAGAUUAUAUAGAGCUCCUCAAUAUUUAUUACUGUCAAAUAAAUAAAAUCACCUAAAGCUACUAAAAUCCUAUUGAUAAUCUUCGUAAUAACUCCCUCUGUUCCUUUUUGUUUGAUUGUUUAUAAAAAAAAUUUGUUUCUAAAAGAUUGAUUUUUUAAGUUUUCUAUGUAAUAUUUAUUGGUUAGUAUUGGUGAAUUGUAAUUUUCAAGAAAAAUAGUUAAUUCUCAUUGGUUUAGAGUAGGGAUGUCAAAAUGGGUAACCCAACUCAACUCAUAAUCAAAUGAGUUUAAGGUUAAAUGAGUUAUGGGUUGACCCAACUCAUUUUGUUAAAUAGGUUGGGUCUACCUAUAACUCAUUUAAUAUGGGUUAACCCAUUUAAAUAAUAAUUUAAUUAAUUAUUAUUAUAAAAAUAAUAAAUUAA